rnacentral:rRNA from 1 species
GACGAACGCUGGCGGCGUGCCUAAUACAUGCAAGUUGAGCGCUGAAGGUUGGUACUUGUACCAACUGGAUGAGCAGCGAACGGGUGAGUAACGCGUGGGGAAUCUGCCUUUGAGCGGGGGACAACAUUUGGAAACGAACGCUAAUACCGCAUAAAAACUUUAAACACAAGUUUUAAGUUUGAAAGAUGCAAUUGCAUCACUCAAAGAUGAUCCCGCGUUGUAUUAGCUAGUUGGUGAGGUAAAGGCUCACCAAGGCGAUGAUACAUAGCCGACCUGAGAGGGUGAUCGGCCACAUUGGGACUGAGACACGGCCCAAACUCCUACGGGAGGCAGCAGUAGGGAAUCUUCGGCAAUGGACGAAAGUCUGACCGAGCAACGCCGCGUGAGUGAAGAAGGUUGUCGGAUCGUAAAACUCUGUUGGUAGAGAAGAACGUUGGUGAGAGUGGAAAGCUCAUCAAGUGACGGUAACUACCCAGAAAGGGACGGCUAACUACGUG